GCGGGAGUCAGUCGACAGAGUUCGUGGACGGAGACCGAAGAGCCAGCGGGAGCAAGUGAGCUAGUGAAAGAAGUGCAAGCUGUAGUCAGCGCUUUGGUCUGGAGUACGAAUGCCUGCACAGCAUCACAUUCCCUCAGGCGAUUCACUUUUUGAUCCUGCUCUCAGGAACAGUCCUCUAAGGGUGUAGCUUUGUAAUUACCGAAUCGACAGCUCUGCCUUUCGAGAAUCGCUUUCCGCAUCGCUUUUCGUAACACUGUGGACAUUUUCGAAAUUUAAUCAAACCUAAACUGGCCUAAUCCCAGCGAUUCGAAGGCGAUAGAAAGAAAAGCACAAGUCGAACCACCAAUUCCCAGUUCGCAAAGCCAAAAUGAUAAAGACAUAGCCAUAGCGUCAAAGGAUAACAAGGGCCAAUUUAUGACGGGAACUUAAAGCAUGCUUGAAGAACUGAUCCAAAAUCAGAUGAUACAAAUGCUAUUAUCUCACAAUUAAACGUGAUCACAAUCAACAGUGGGAAUGCAAAUGGUUUUAACCUACAUUAAUACUAGCUUACCAGCAAUAUGGUUGA